rnacentral:rRNA from 1 species
UACGUAGGGCGCAAGCGUUGUCCGGAAUUAUUGGGCGUAAAGCGCACGUAGGCGGUCCUCUAAGUCGGGUGUGAAAGCCCGGGGCUUAACCCCGGAAGUGCACUCGAAACUGGAGGGCUUGAGUAUGGAAGAGGGUCUCGGAAUUCCCGGUGUAGUGGUGAAAUGCGUAGAGAUCGGGAGGAACACCUGUGGCGAAGGCGGCUCGCUGGGCCGGUCCUGACGCUGAAACGCGAAGGCGUGGGGAGCGAACGGG